AUUGAACGCUGGCGGCAUGCCUUACACAUGCAAGUCGAACGGCAGCAUGGGUGCUUGCACCUGAUGGCGAGUGGCGAACGGGUGAGUAAUGCAUCGGAACGUACCCGGAAGUGGGGGAUAACGUAGCGAAAGUUACGCUAAUACCGCAUAUUCUGUGAGCAGGAAAGCGGGGGAUCGCAAGACCUCGCGCUUCCGGAGCGGCCGAUGUCGGAUUAGCUAGUUGGCGGGGUAAAGGCCCACCAAGGCAACGAUCCGUAGCGGGUCUGAGAGGAUGAUCCGCCACACUGGAACUGAGACACGGUCCAGACUCCUACGGGAGGCAGCAGUGGGGAAUUUUGGACAAUGGGGGCAACCCUGAUCCAGCCAUGCCGCGUGAGUGAAGAAGGGCCUUCGGGUUGUAAAGCUCUUUCGGCCGGGAAAAAUACGCAUCAGUUAAUACCUGGUGUGGAUGAUGGUACCGGAAGUAAGAAGACACCGGCUAACUACGUACGCCAGCAGACC
rnacentral:rRNA from 1 species